GGUUUGCGACGUUGCAGACUCACUGUCAUACUUUAUUUCUUAAACGGAAAACUACUCAAUGAGGCUGUGCAAUCGGCAGAGGGUAAAAUUUGUUUGAAUCAUCCGCAACUGAUGAUAUUCACAAUCAUCUGUCUGUUCCUGCACUCAGCUGCCCCCCAUCUUUUCAAGCACAGCGUUUUGAUAGCAUGUUAAGUAGAAAACCUCUUUUCAUUCCUCAGACUUUUUCUCUAUUUUCUAAACUGCAAGAAACAAAAUUACAGAAUACUCUCCUGUUCAAAAGUACAAGUCUAACAAGGAAACAACCCACAAAUAUUACUGUAAUUAUUGUUAAUUACUCCACGUACUGACAUUUCUAACGAUUCUUCAUUAAGUCAAUUGUAGACUCAAUAGAAGUGUUGAGCAAACACCAUAUCAAGUGUCUGCUGUAAAUAACUACAUAUUGGAAUGCAUCUUUGCAGUCAGCAUUCUGCCUUCCCCUUACAAUUGUUGGCGACACCUUUGCAGGAAUAAAACCCUUGUUUUAGGAUCCUAAUUAACUUUUUACAUACACAUUUUGGCCCAUUCAAUUUUGGAAUGUCGACUUUUUUAGGCGCCACAAUGGCCCAGUCCUGUAAUUCUAAGCUUUGCCUGUAGAAGGCAGAGCACUGUCUUCACUUGGAAAAUACAAUUACAAUUUCUUUUCCUAAGGAAAGUAUCUUAUGUGUUCACAGAAGCUGCAUAGUUGGCGAACUAUGGAUAAUCCCGCAAUCAUGAUAUGUGUAUUUAAAUCUUCAACGUUGUGUGUUAAACUCGUCUACCUCUAGUGAUGCUCAACAUUGUUUAUCUAAUGAUCAGUUUUUGUCACAUCACUUAUCAAGAGUGUGUCACCAUUGCCUUCAUAUGUAGUAAUAUUUGAUUGUGUUGUAAAAUGAAAAUGAAAUCUUAUCAAUUAAAGCCUUCAAAAAUCUUGCUCAUA